rnacentral:misc_RNA from 1 species
GAUGAAGAACGCAGCGAAAUGCGAUAAGUAAUGUGAAUUGCAGAAUUCAGUGAAUCAUCGAAUCUUUGAACGCACAUUGCGCCCGCCAGUAUUCUGGCGGGCAUGCCUGUUCGAGCGUCAUUACAACCCUCAUGCCCCCGGGCCUGGCGUUGGGGAUCGGCGGAGCCCCCCGUGGGCACACGCCGUCCCCCAAAUGCAGUGGCGGUCCCGCCGCAGCUUCCAUCGCGUAGUAGCUAACACCUCGCGACUGGAGAGCGGCGCGGCCACGCCGUAAAACACCCAACUCUUCUGAAGUUGACCUCGAAUCAGGUAGGAAUACCCGCUGAACUUAAGCAUAUCAAUAAGCGGAGGA